CUUUACAUUUACACUGAAUGUCAAAAUCUGUAGUGAACUCAACUCAUGCAUUGAGGGCGGGGUUUUCUCGUUGAGACCGGAAAAGAAAGAAACCGUUUCAGACUCCAUUAGACAACAACAACAGAACACACGACUUACGAAGCUAUAUUUGAAUCUCCAAUAUCUCUUAUUCAAUUUAUCAUAGUCAUUUAAAAGGAUGGGAGGAUGUAAGAUAGUCAUUCUGCUUGCUUUUCUCGUUGAUGGUGUGUUCGGUGCUGAUCCAGAUGAAGUGAUCAAAAAUAUGUCAGUGAAUGAGGGAGAUUCAGUCACUCUAAACUCUAGUGUUACCAAAAAACAAGAAGAGAUAAUGCAGUGGUAUUUUGAUGACAUCCGCAUUGCUCACAUCAAUGGAAAUCCCGAGAAGACUUGUUUUUAUGAUGGAGAAGGCAAGAUAUUCAGAGACAGACUGAAGGUGGACUAUGAGACCGGAUCUCUGAUCAUCACAAACAUCAGACCUGAACACACUGGACGUUAUAAAGCAGAGCUCAUCAGGAGCGAAAGUUCAGGCAAAAGGGAAAACUUAAACAGAAACAGCAAGUGUAACAGCACAAAAAUCAUCACAAAAAACAGCUUGGGCAAAAUUAUAAAAACAUUCAGUGUGACUGUCAAAGCUGCUGAUCCUGGUAAGGCAGAUUCCCAAAUGGACAUAAAAGAGCAAGAGACUGACAACACUGUUCCAGGUUCAGAUCUGUCUGCAGGUGCUGUAGCAGGAAUAAGUUUUGCUGUUGUUCUUCUGCUGGUUGCAGCUGUUGGUGUGAUUUACUACCGUCACAGGAGAUCUAGAAAGGAUAGGGAGAUAAGGAAACAAGAGCUUCUUCAGAAAGCCUAAGUGUGAGAUGGAGAAAGACGCAUGAUCUGAGAGGAUCACAAAGAGCUACUGCAGCAUUAUUCCCAUUGGAUUAAAUCAGCUAAAACAAACUUCUAUAAUAUCCUUCUAAAAAUGAGCUGAAACAUGAUUAAAAGUUUUGCUUUAUGAACAUAUUUAUGCUUUGCAGGCCUCUCAUUAAUGAUAAAGCACUUAUCUUGAGCUGUUAUGCAAAUAUUAAACCAUCUGUUACUGGAAACUUCUAGCAAGUUGUUAAUUUGUAACUUCAUCCAAAUUAUUGUGUGAGGAAAGUUCCUGCAAUUACUUUUCAACCUUAUUUUAAAUAUGCAUAUUACAUUUGCUGAUUUAAAUAUGUGAUAAAUGCAGCUUCUAAACCUGUUUUGAAUUAGUUAAGUGCUUGUGGAAGAAGUUAGAAACAGAAAGUGAAAGUGACCUUAUGUCUCUCAUUAAUUUUGUUAAAGUGCAUGAAUUAAUUUUUCCUACAGUUUUUCCUACAUUUGUAUUCAAAUCACAAAUAACUUACUUGUAGAAUUCGGCCUUCCUGCUAAAUGUAUACAACAAAUGCUUUAUUGUUAGAAGGAUGUGUGGAGGAAAUUUUGAGUUUCUGUAUAAUUUUCAUAUGAUUUUACCAUUUCCAUUUAGUCAUUUAGCAGACGCUUUUCUCCAAAGCAACUUACAAAUGAGAAUAGUAGAAGCAAUCAAAUCAACAUGAGUACAACAGUAUGUAAGUGCUGUGUCAAGUCCCAGUUUCAUCAGUAAAGUGCUCGUUGCAAGUUUUUUUUUGUUUGUUUUUUUAAUAUAUAUAAAUAUAUACGCAAAUAGAUGGAGAAAGAAUAGAAAAUCGGAAAAAAGAAAAGUAAAAUAUAAAUAAAAAAAAGUGGUUCAGUGGUGGAUUAGUGGUGGUUCGCUUGCUUGCUUGAUUGUUUGUGGUGUUUGAUACAGAGAACGUCUUAUCUGAACUAAAAACUUCUCAGCCCGGAGAUAAAGAAAAGGAAAGUAUGUCACGUGACUUACAUCUUACAAACAUGCAGGAUUGACUCUGUUUAGACACACUAGGGAAGGAGCGGGUGCAGCCUUGUGUAAGUUUUGUUCUCAUAGAUAGUGAAGCUUUAGUUAUGGCGCGAACGCCGAAGAUUUCUUUAUUUUCUGGUUUUGUUUUCAGUUAGUUUAGAGGGCGGGGAAUUAGUGAAUGUUUUGGUUUUGUUUUUUUCGUUUGUUUAGCACCGCUCAUUUUCUUUUUCUCUGUGGCUUGUUUCAAUUUAUUAUAAUUUCUUUUCUUUUUAUAUGGUCGGUGUUUCUAUUUGUGUAAAUUUAUAUUCUUUUUAUAAAUAAAGCGAACCACUUUUUGUCA